GACGAACGCUGGCGGCGUGCUUAACACAUGCAAGUCGAACGGAAAGGCCCUGCUUUUGUGGGGUGCUCGAGUGGCGAACGGGUGAGUAACACGUGAGUAACCUGCCCUUGACUUUGGGAUAACUUCAGGAAACUGGGGCUAAUACCGGAUAGGAGCUCCUGCUGCAUGGUGGGGGUUGGAAAGUUUCGGCGGUUGGGGAUGGACUCGCGGCUUAUCAGCUUGUUGGUGGGGUAGUGGCUUACCAAGGCUUUGACGGGUAGCCGGCCUGAGAGGGUGACCGGCCACAUUGGGACUGAGAUACGGCCCAGACUCCUACGGGAGGCAGCAGUGGGGAAUAUUGCACAAUGGGCGGAAGCCUGAUGCAGCAACGCCGCGUGCGGGAUGACGGCCUUCGGGUUGUAAACCGCUUUCGCCUGUGACGAAGCGUGAGUGUCGGUAAUGGGUAAAGAAGCACCGGCUAACUACGUGCCAGCAGCCGCGGUGAUACGUAGGGUGCGAGCGUUGUCCGGAUUUAUUGGGCGUAAAGGGCUCGUAGGUGGUUGAUCGCGUCGGAAGUGUAAUCUUGGGGCUUAACCCUGAGCGUGCUUUCGAUACGGGUUGACUUGAGGAAGGUAGGGGAGAAUGGAAUUCCUGGUGGAGCGGUGGAAUGCGCAGAUAUCAGGAGGAACACCAGUGGCGAAGGCGGUUCUCUGGGCCUUUCCUGACGCUGAGGAGCGAAAGCGUGGGGAGCGAACAGGCUUAGAUACCCUGGUAGUCCACACUGUAAACGGUGGGUACUAGGUGUGGGGUCCAUUCCACGGGUUCCGUGCCGUAGCUAACGCUUUAAGUACCCCGCCUGGGGAGUACGGCCGCAAGGCUAAAACUCAAAGGAAUUGACGGGGCCCCGCACAAGCGGCGGAGCAUGCGGAUUAAUUCGAUGCAACGCGUAGAACCUUACCUGGGUUUGACAUGGAUCGGGAGUGCUCAGAGAUGGGUGUGCCUCUUUUGGGGUCGGUUCACAGGUGGUGCAUGGCUGUCGUCAGCUCGUGUCGUGAGAUGUUGGGUUAAGUCCCGCAACGAGCGCAACCCUUGUUCACUGUUGCCAGCACGUUAUGGUGGGGACUCAGUGGAGACCGCCGGGGUCAACUCGGAGGAAGGUGGGGAUGACGUCAAGUCAUCACGCCCCUUAUGUCCAGGGCUUCACGCAUGCUACAAUGGCUGGUACAGAGAGUGGCGAGCCUGUGAGGGUGAGCGAAUCUCGGAAAGCCGGUCUCAGUUCGGAUUGGGGUCUGCAACUCGACCUCAUGAAGUCGGAGUCGCUAGUAAUCGCAGAUCAGCAACGCUGCGGUGAAUACGUUCCCGGG
rnacentral:rRNA from 1 species